ensembl:lncRNA
GAGGAUGAGGCCUGAGGCCGCGCCGCUGCACCGCCACAGAAACCUGGAAGAGCUGGACUGUGGCGACGGGUUGCAUACAAGUGUGCUCUCCCGGGAUGGACACCGUUACUAUAGCCAAGUAGGCCCGACAACUCUGCCUGCAGUCUUUCUAUGUGACCCCAGCUCAGUGGGCUGCUGGGUGUGCCACUGAAGAACUCGUGGUUUGCGGUCAGGUUUCAUGGAUGAGACCUGUUUCCUGGACAGAGGACAACACAGGAACAUUUGUAGAGGUCUGUCUAUCUAGAGAGGGUCUCAGGCUAACCCACGUGGCUUCGCCUCUAUAAUCCUCCAGCCCUUCGCUGGGAGUGCUGGAUUAUUAGGGAAAGCCAGCACACUUGGAUUAGGGAGCAGCUCGGUAAAACAAAGAUGGCACCGACAUCCAGUCCCGUCUGGUAGUAAACAACUUAUCACGCAUGCGCAGGCUUGUCCCCUUGCCAGGGCAGCCGUAGGAUAAUGAGGUGAUCCGGCGCCCACCUGUGGUGAACAACGGUACCACGCAUGCGCGGGUUUUGCACCUGGCGUCAGUUGGCCAGGACGUUAAUAUGCUAAUGAGGGAUUCAUGCUCCUUCAAUCCCUGAAGGACAAUUAACAUAGCCUCAGCCUGCUGUAUAUAUAAGGCGAGCGCUUUUUCGGCUCCAGGUCCCCGUAUGAGCAAAGAGGUGGUCCUACAAUAAAGGCUGUUGAGAAG